rnacentral:rRNA from 1 species
AGAGUUUGAUCCUGGCUCAGAACGUACGCUGGCGGCACGCCUAACACAUGCAAGUCGAACGAAGUAGCAAUACUUAGUGGCAGACGGGUGAGUAACAUGUGGGUAUCUUCCCUUUGGCCUGGAAUAACACGAGGAAACUUGUGCUAAUACCGGAUAAGUCUUUACAGAGAAAGCUUUAUGCACCAUUGGAUGAGCCCGCACUUGAUUAGUUUGUUGGUGGGGUAAUGGCCUACCAAGACUGUGAUCAAUAGCUGAUUUGAGAGGAUGAUCAGCCACAUUGGGACUGAGACACGGCCCAAACUCCUACGGGAGGCAGCAGUGGGGAAUCUUGCACAAUGGAGGAAACUCUGAUGCAGCGAUGCCGCGUGAGUGAAGAAGGCCUUUGGGUUGUAAAGCUCUUUCGUCGGGGAAGAAAAUGACUGUACCCGAAUAAGAAGGUCCGGCUAACUUCGUGCCAGCAGCCGCGGUAAUACGAAGGGACCUAGCGUAGUUCGGAAUUACUGGGCUUAAAGAGUUCGUAGGUGGUUGAAAAAGUUGGUGGUGAAAUCCCAGAGCUUAACUCUGGAACUGCCAUCAAAACUUUUCAGCUAGAGUUUGAUAGAGGAAAGCAGAAUUUCUAGUGUAGAGGUGAAAUUCGUAGAUAUUAGAAAGAAUACCAAUUGCGAAGGCAGCUUUCUGGAUCAUUACUGACACUGAGGAACGAAAGCAUGGGUAGCGAAGAGGAUUAGAUACCCUCGUAGUCCAUGCCGUAAACGAUGUGUGCUAGACGUUGGAAAUUAAUUUUUCAGUGUCGCAGCGAAAGCAUUAAGCACACCGCCUGGGGAGUACGACCGCAAGGUUAAAACUCAAAUGAAUUGACGGGGACCCGCACAAGCAGUGGAGCAUGUGGUUUAAUUCGAAGAUACGCGCAGAACCUUACCAACACUUGACAUGUUCGUCGCGAGCCUAAGAGAUUAGGCUUUUCAGUUCGGCUGGACGAAACACAGGUGCUGCAUGGCUGUCGUCAGCUCGUGUCGUGAGAUGUUGGGUUAAGUCCCGCAACGAGCGCAACCCCUACCUUUAGUUGCCACCAUUUAGUUGGGCACUCUAAAGGGACUGCCAGUGAUAAGCUGGAGGAAGGCGGGGAUGACGUCAAGUCCUCAUGGCCCUUACGUGUUGGGCUACACACGUGCUACAAUGGUACUUACAACGGGAUGCAAAGAGGCGACUCUAAGCCAAUCCUAAAAAUGUACCUCAGUUCGGAUUGCACUCUGCAACUCGAGUGCAUGAAGCUGGAAUUGCUAGUAAUCGCGGAUCAGCGCGCCGCGGUGAAUACGUUCCCGGGUCUUGUACACACCGCCCGUCACACCAUGGAAGUUGGUUACACCUUAAGGCAAAUCGUCAACCCUCGGGAGACAUUUGACUACGGUACGAUCAGCAACUGGGGUGAAGUCGUAACAAGGUAACC